CUACGGGUGGCAGCAGUGGGGAAUAUUGCACAAUGGGGGAAACCCUGAUGCAGCAACGCCGCGUGGAGGAUGACGCAUUUCGGUGUGUAAACUCCUUUUAUAUAGGAAGAUAAUGACGGUACUAUAUGAAUAAGCACCGGCUAACUCCGUGCCAGCAGCCGCGGUAAUACGGAGGGUGCAAGCGUUACUCGGAAUCACUGGGCGUAAAGCGCGCGCAGGCGGCCCCUUAAGUUGGAUGUGAAAGCCUACGGCUUAACCGUAGAACUGCAUCCAAAACUGAGGGGCUAGAGUCUGGGAGGGGAAGAUGGAAUUAGUUGUGUAGGGGUAAAAUCCGUAGAGAUAACUAGGAAUACCAAAAGCGAAGGCGAUCUUCUGGAACAGUACUGACGCUGAGGCGCGAAAGCGUGGGGAGCAAACAGGAUUAGAUACCCGCGUAGUC
rnacentral:rRNA from 1 species